AGCUCGCAGCCAAUCGCCGCUCUCUGUUGGCCCCGAGCCCCGAGCCCAUUGGUCAGCCGCCGCGGCAGUGCGGGCGGGGCUGCCGGGGGAAAGAACCACAGCUGGAAUCCUGUUCCCACCCCAAAUCCCGGGACCGCCCCUCUCCCCUCCCCUUGCCCCUGGGUCCGCUCCCGAAGGUUGGAGCCAAUGAGACGGCUGCCCAGGCCGAACCCACUUUCCGAUUGGCUGCUGGGGUCUUUGGGACUCCCUUGGAGGGAGCCCCGGGGAAUCAGUGUUUGCCGCUGGGUCUUGGGGUAGCGCCACAAGCCCGGGCAUCCUUUGUUCAGGACCCCCCGAAUUGGACCAUAGCCAGAGGGGGGAGCUCAACUCUGGUCAAUCCUGGAGAAGACGGGAAGCGCUUUCCUUCCAGCCAGUGUUGUUUCCAUGUCUAUGAAGCACCAGGGUGCCCAGGAUACAGCGCUGAGAAUGAAGCCUCUGUCCUGAGAGGAGAAGUAAAGAGAAUGAAGAUGUGCUGUGUGCCUGUGCCAGCUCCCCACGGUGAAUGGAAUUAUGUACUGCAAACAUGUACAGCAGAAAUUAAAAAAUAAAUUUUAAGCCUACAAUCCUCCCAGU
rnacentral:lncRNA from 1 species